CGCAUCUGUGCAUGCAGCAUAUCAAUAAGCGGAGGAAAAGAAACUAGCAAGGAUUCCCCUAGUAACGGCGAGUGAAGCGGAAGAGCUCAAAUUUGAAAUCUUAAAGGGUUUCCCUUUACGAAUUGUAGUUUAAAGAAGUGUUUUCUGUUGAGGUUUUGGUAAAAGUUCUUUGGAAUAGGACAUCAUAGAGGGUGAGAAUCCCGUAUUUGACCUUUACUUUCAACUUUGUGAUACACUUUCAAAGAGUCGGAUUGUUUGGGAAUGCAGUCCAAAAUGGGUGGUAAAUUUCAUCUAAAGCUAAAUAUUGGCGAGAGACCGAUAGCGAACAAGUACCGUGAGGGAAAGAUGAAAAGAACUUUGAAAAGAGAGUUAAACAGUACGUGAAAUUGUCAAAAGGGAAGCGUUUGACACCAGUGUUGUUUUCUGAAAAUCAAUUAAAGAACUGUUUAUGCUAAGUUGUUUAGACUUUAUCAGCUAACUGUUUAGUUUUGAGCUUUUCUUUAAUGCACUUUUCAGUUAACAAGUCAACAUCAAUUUCUUUUGCUGUAAAAAAGCUUGAGGAAGGUGGCUUGAGAUUCGUCUUAAGUGUUUAUAGCCUCUUGCCUAUGCAGUCGGAGAGAUUGAGGUCUGCAGCGUAGAUCCUUCGGGGCUAAAUGCAUUUGUGCUAAGUUAUAGCAUUUUAUAGACAACUUGUUGACUAUGAUUUGUCUUGUAGCUUACUCGCUUAUGUUAUUUUACCUACGCUUAGGAUGUUGACAGCAGUUAGACUGU
rnacentral:rRNA from 1 species